UACGAGUGCCCCAAGCGUUAUCCGGAAUUAUUGGGCGUAAAGGGUGUGUAGGCGGCAUGGUUAGUCUCUUGUUAAAGCUCCCGGCUCAACCGGGAAAGUGCAAGGGAAACUGCCAUUGCUAGAGGAUGUGAGAGGUGAAUGGAACUCAUGGUGUAGGGGUGAAAUCCGUUGAUAUCAUGGGGAACACCAAAAGCGAAGGCAAUUCACUGGCACAUUCCUGACGCUGAGACACGAAAGCGUGGGUAGCGAAUGGG
rnacentral:rRNA from 1 species